AUUGCUGGGAUUGGUACC
rnacentral:misc_RNA from 1 species